rnacentral:rRNA from 1 species
AGAGUUUGAUCCUGGCUCAGGAUGAACGCUAGCUACAGGCUUAACACAUGCAAGUCGAGGGGCAGCAUAAUCAAAGCUUGCUUUGGUUGAUGGCGACCGGCGCACGGGUGAGUAACGCGUAUCCAACCUUCCCCUUGGUAGGGGAUAGCCCGGUGAAAAUCGGAUUAAUAGCCUAUGUUUUCCGAAGAGGACAUCUGAUUUGGAACAAAGGUUUACCGCUAAGGGAUGGGGAUGCGUCUGAUUAGGUAGUCGGCGGGGUAACGGCCCACCGAGCCUGCGAUCAGUAGGGGUUCUGAGAGGAAGGUCCCCCACAUUGGAACUGAGACACGGUCCAAACUCCUACGGGAGGCAGCAGUGAGGAAUAUUGGUCAAUGGUCGAGAGACUGAACCAGCCAAGUAGCGUGCAGGACGACGGCCCUAUGGGUUGUAAACUGCUUUUAUAUGGGGAUAAAGUGCGGCACGUGUGCCGUUUUGUAGGUACCAUAUGAAUAAGGACCGGCUAAUUCCGUGCCAGCAGCCGCGGUAAUACGGAAGGUCCGGGCGUUAUCCGGAUUUAUUGGGUUUAAAGGGAGCGCAGGCGGGCUUUUAAGCGUGACGUGAAAUGUGGAUGCUCAACAUCCGAGCUGCGUCGCGAACUGGAGGCCUUGAGUGAGUACGACGUGGACGGAAUUCGUGGUGUAGCGGUGAAAUGCUUAGAUAUCACGAAGAACCCCGAUUGCGAAGGCAGUCCACGAGUCCUUUACUGACGCUAAAGCUCGAAAGUGCGGGUAUCGAACAGGAUUAGAUACCCUGGUAGUCCGCACGGUAAACGAUGGAUGCCCCGCUGUUUGCGACAUACUGUAAGCGGCCAAGAGAAAUCGUUAAGCAUCCCACCUGGGGAGUACGCCGGCAACGGUGAAACUCAAAGGAAUUGACGGGGGCCCGCACAAGCGGAGGAACAUGUGGUUUAAUUCGAUGAUACGCGAGGAACCUUACCCGGGCUCAAACGCGGAGGAUAAGCGCGGGGGAAACCCUGUGUCGCGCAAGCUAAUCCGCGAGGUGCUGUAUGGUUGUCGUCAGCUCGUGCCGUGAGGUGUCGGCUUAAGUGCCAUAACGAGCGCAACCCCCAUCCUACAGUUGCUAACGGGUAAAGCCGAGGACUCUGUGGAGACUGCCAGCGCAAGCUGCGAGGAAGGCGGGGAUGACGUCAAAUCAGCACGGCCCUUACGUCCGGGGCGACACACGUGUUACAAUGGCGGGGGACAGAGGGAGGCCACCUGGCGACAGGGAGCGGAGCCCGAAAACCCGUCUCAGUUCGGAUCGGAGUCUGCAACCCGACUCCGUGAAGCUGGAUUCGCUAGUAAUCGCGCAUCAGCCAUGGCGCGGUGAAUACGUUCCCGGGCCUUGCACUCACAGCCCGUCA